rnacentral:rRNA from 1 species
GUCGAGCGGGAUCUUCGGAUCUAGCGGCGGACGGGUUAGUAACGCGUGGGAACGUACCCAGAUCUACGGAAUAGCCUCGGGAAACUGAGAGUAAUACCGUAUACGCCCUUCGGGGGAAAGAUUUAUCGGAUUUGGAUCGGCCCGCGUAAGAUUAGAUAGUUGGUGGGGUAAUGGCCUACCAAGUCUACGAUCUUUAGCUGGUUUGAGAGGAUGAUCGGCAACACUGGGACUGAGACACGGCCCAGACUCCUACGGGAGGCAGCAGUGGGGAAUCUUAGACAAUGGGCGCAAGCCUGAUCUAGCGAUGCCGCGUGAGUGAUGAAGGCCUUAGGGUCGUAAAGCUCUUUCGCCUGUGAAGAUAAUGACGGUAGCAGGUAAAGAAACCCCGGCUAACUCCGUGCCAGCAGCCGCGGUAAUACGGAGGGGGUUAGCGUUGUUCGGAAUUACUGGGCGUAAAGCGCACGUAGGCGGACUAGUCAGUCAGAGGUGAAAUCCCAGGGCUCAACCCUGGAACUGCCUUUGAUACUGCUAGUCUUGAGUUCGAGAGAGGUAAGUGGAAUUCCGAGUGUAGAGGUGAAAUUCGUAGAUAUUCGGAGGAACACCAGUGGCGAAGGCGGCUUACUGGCUCGAUACUGACGCUGAGGUGCGAAAGUGUGGGGAGCAAACAGGAUUAGAUACCCUGGUAGUCCACACCGUAAACGAUGAAUGCCAGACGUCGGGUAGCAUGCUAUUCGGUGUCACACCUAACGGAUUAAGCAUUCCGCCUGGGGAGUACGGUCGCAAGAUUAAAACUCAAAGGAA